CCUCCCCAAGAUCAUAUGAGCUCACUUCCUACAGGUACUAUCGUUAGUGCUGCCGCGAUUAGUCGACAUAGUCGACCUAAUCGACCAUGAAAAUUAGUCGAC